AGGGGCGUAGCUCAGUCUGGUCAGAGCGCUGCUCUCCAAAAGCAGAUGCCGAGGGUUCGAAUCCUUCCGCCCCUGCCA
rnacentral:tRNA from 1 species